rnacentral:rRNA from 1 species
UACGGAGGGUGCAAGCGUUGUCCGGAUUUACUGGGUUUAAAGGGUGCGUAGGCGGGUAGGUAAGUCAGUGGUGAAAUCUCCGAGCUUAACUCGGAAACUGCCUUUGAUACUAUCUAUCUUGAAUAUUGUGGAGGUAAGCGGAAUAUGUCAUGUAGCGGUGAAAUGCUUAGAUAUGACAUAGAACACCUAUUGCGAAGGCAGCUUACUACGCAUAUAUUGACGCUGAGGCACGAAAGCGUGGGGAUCAAACAGG